rnacentral:rRNA from 1 species
CCUACGGGUGGCAGCAGUGAGGAAUAUUGGUCAAUGGACGAGAGUCUGAACCAGCCAAGUAGCGUGAAGGAUGACUGCCCUAUGGGUUGUAAACUUCUUUUAUAUGGGAAUAAAACGUUCCAAGUGUGGGAUUUUGUAUGUACCAUAUGAAUAAGGAUCGGCUAACUCCGUGCCAGCAGCCGCGGUAAUACGGAGGAUCCGAGCGUUAUCCGGAUUUAUUGGGUUUAAAGGGAGCGUAGGUGGAUUGUUAAGUCAGUUGUGAAAGUUUGCGGCUCAACCGUAAAAUUGCAGUUGAAACUGGCAGUCUUGAGUACAGUAGAGGUGGGCGGAAUUCGUGGUGUAGCGGUGAAAUGCGUAGAUAUCACGAAGAACUCCGAUUGCGAAGGCAGUUCACUGGACUGCAACUGACACUGAGGCUCGAAAGUGUGGGUAUCAAACAGGAUUAGAUACCCGAGUAGUC